rnacentral:rRNA from 1 species
GACGAACGCUGGCGGCGUGCUUAACACAUGCAAGUCGAACGGUGAAGGGGAGCUUGCUCCCCGGAUCAGUGGCGAACGGGUGAGUAACACGUGGGCAACCUGCCCCAGACUUCGGGAUAACGCUUCGAAAGAGGUGCUAAUACCGGAUACGAACUCCUUGGGCAUCCUUGGAGUUGGAAAGUUUUUCGGUCUGGGAUGGGCCCGCGGCCUAUCAGCUUGUUGGUGAGGUAACGGCUCACCAAGGCGACGACGGGUAGCCGGCCUGAGAGGGCGACCGGCCACACCGGGACUGAGACACGGCCCAGACUCCUACGGGAGGCAGCAGUGGGGAAUAUUGCGCAAUGGGCGAAAGCCUGACGCAGCAACGCCGCGUGAGGGAUGACGGCCUUCGGGUUGUAAACCUCUUUCAGCAGGGAAGAAGCGAAAGUGACGGUACCUGCAGAAGAAGCACCGGCUAACUACGUGCCAGCCGCCGCAGUAAAAC